UACGUAGGGGGCAAGCGUUGUCCGGAAUCAUUGGGCGUAAAGCGCGUGUAGGCGGCCAGAAAAGUCCGCUGUGAAAACUCGAGGCUCAACUUCGAGCUGUCGGUGGAAACUUUCUGGCUAGAGUCCGGAAGAGGAGAAUGGAAUUCCUGGUGUAGCGGUGAAAUGCGCAGAUAUCAGGAAGAACACCAAUGGCGAAGGCAGCUCUCUGGGACGGUACUGACGCUGAGACGCGAAAGCGUGGGGAGCGAACAGG
rnacentral:rRNA from 1 species